AUACGGAGGGUGCAAACGUUGCUCGGAAUCAUUGGGCGUAAAGCGCACGUAGGCGGCCCACCAAGUCGGACGUGAAAGCCCUCGGCUUAACCGAGGAAGGGCGCUCGAUACUAGUGGGCUUGAGUACGGGAGAGGAUCGCGGAAUUCCCGGUGUAGAGGUGAAAUUCGUAGAUAUCGGGAGGAACACCAGUGGCGAAGGCGGCGAUCUGGACCGAUACUGACGCUGAGGUGCGAAAGCGUGGGGAGCAAACAGGA
rnacentral:rRNA from 1 species